CUUGCUUGCCCUGCAUCAUCAACAUAAAAAAAUAGAGAUAAAUGUAUAAGUACAAAGGUUUUAUAUGAGAAUAAUACACAAAAAGUAGGAUUGCAAUUCAGGACCUAAAGACUCACCAGAGUGGCCUCUGGAACAAAGGAAAAGGCAAGAGUUUAUUGGGGAAAGAGGAGAUUACGCAAGUUGUUUUGAAAGAAAGCUUAUUGGUGCUGGCGGCAUCCUGCAAGAGCUGGUGACUCUGAUGGGCCAGUGUCAGUCAUUGCAAGGCAUAACCAUCUUAGAUCAUCCAGUCACCAGUCAACAACCCUCCAGCUGAGUGAGCCUAACCAAGAUCACCCUUGCCCUGUCCCAACCAGAAGAACCACCCAGCUGACCCUAGGCUCAUGAGCAAUCAUAAAUGUUUAUUGCUUUGCUCCACCAAGCUUUGAAGUGGUUUUCUUUACAGCAUUAUUGUGGAAGUAGAUAAAAAGUGAUUUAGUAAAUUUUUCUGUUUGAUUUGUGAUGUAUCCUUUUUCAUUCUGCUUCUUCACAUGCUACAUUCUGUAUCACCUCCAUUGUUCCUUCCAUCUAUCCAGUCUUUUUUUGCCAACACCACCCUUUUUGAUUUUUCACUUUUCUGUAUAUUCCAAUAUUUCAUUUUCCAAGAAAUGGGUAUUAAAUUCUUCUGCCACUUUCUCAGCAUAGAGGAUAUUGUAUGUUUUUUCUUAUUGGUUCUAUUGAUGUAAUGUUAUAUAUUCAUGAUUUAAUAAAUUAAACUGCUCAUGAAUUCAUGCAAAUAGGUUUUUCUCAGGAAUUCAUGAGACAGGUCUCAAUCAGUUUUGAAGUUUAUUUUGCCAAGGUCGAGGAUGUGACCAGGAGACAGGUCUGUGCCUUUCUUGAAAGAUGAUUUUGACGGCUUCAAUAUUUAACGGGAACAAGUGGACUGGAGGGGAGGGAAAGAGAGUAUGGUUACAUUAUGGAAUCCACAUGUUGCAAGAUAAAGGAGCAGGUAAGGGAAUGGUCAAUUUUG
rnacentral:lncRNA from 10 species